UGCGUAGGCGGCUCGUUAAGUCAGGGGUGAAAGGCUGUAGCUCAACUACAGAAUUGCCUUUGAUACUGACAGGCUUGAAAUAAAUUGAGGUUGGCGGAAUGUGACAUGUAGCGGUGAAAUGCAUAGAUAUGUCAUAGAACACCAAUUGCGAAGGCAGCUGACUAGAUUUUAUUUGACGCUGAGGCACGAAAGCGUGGGGAGCGAACAGGAUUAGAUACCAUGGUAGUCC
rnacentral:rRNA from 1 species